UUUCAACACAUACUUGUUCAGUGGUCGGCUUCUGAGGGCCUCAAGCUAAGAUACCUUAUCUUGGGCUCAAAAGGUCUCUGCAGAUCAGUGAAGGGGUCAGCAAGACAGACAAUAGACUGAGCUACUUAAGAGGUGCAGAGUGGGGUCUCUGUAGCUAUAAGAACUAGAGCCCGCCGUCCUCUUACAAAUGAGGUAGUGCAGGGCAGAUGGAGAUGCUGGGAAGGAGGCUGAGAAGCUUUUUUUGGCCCUGGGAUCAGCCUUUGUUAGCUACGGAAUGAACAGAUAAUUGUGAGCAGUGAAUGAGAGAAUAUCAGGUGAUGAGCAAAUAUCUCCUAUGGACCCCAGUCACCAAGAGUAUGCAGGGUGUGUGUGUGUGUGGCAGGAAUCUAGGCUUUAGUUCUGGAAUGCUAGUUACUGAGAAAAUCUGUCACUAUAUAACCAAAAUGGAAGAACUUUUCAAAUGGCAGGCAUUUCUGACUCUUGUUUCCACAGAGAGGUGGAGAAGGAGGGCAGAUGUCCAUGCAGCUCCUUCCGGUUGGAUGAGGUCAGCAACCUCCUCAGGAGGCUUUUGGGUCAGUUUACACAUGGGCAUUUGAAGGAGGAAGCUGUGAGAGGGAGAAGUCCUCCCACAAUGGCCUCCAAGCCUUCUGAUAUCAGUCUAGUUGCUGAACAUUCUCCCCGGGAGAGUUGAUUCUCUGAAAUCACUCAGGAGAGGGAUAUUCCAGUCAGUAUGACUGCGCCUGGUUGACAAAGGGGGAGAAGAGAUCUUUAGGGUCUCCAUUCUUGCUGAUUCACCUUCGAUCAACGAAACCCUGACAGAUGGCGUUAGGUUGUCUCUGGACUACCUGAGUGUCGAUGGACUGUAAAUGAGAGCAGAUAAAAUUAAGACAGUAGUUGAGUACACGAGGUCCAGAGAUUACUAGAUCUAGGUUAUAACAUAUUAAACCUAUUUUUACUAUGACAUCCAGGUUUCCAGCUGUUCACCAAUGGGCUGGUGGUGUUUAGUGGAGUUAUUAGACCUUAUGAAGCAAAGGAGAUAAGCGCAGGAUUAUCAGAAAUAAUAUGAACAGAGAGCAGUGUGUCAGGAAAAAUAAGAGACUCCUUUAACUUAAUUAUAGCUUGGGUGGCUGUGACUAUUCCCACCCAGCAUGUCAGCGGCCCAUAUGGAGGCCGGUAAAGCCUUUCCAUUGUUAAUUUGCUUUAUAUUGUUUUCAAUUGCUUUAACUUUGGUUGUACUUUCCUGCUGGGUGUUUAAAACUGUGCAGGUGGCCAAAAUCACUUCCCCUCUCCUAUCAGGGCCAGCUGAGGGUCUGGUCCUUGGGGCCACCGGGGCUGGAGCGGAGCCUCUGCCUCGGGCUUUCCUGUUCCUGGUUGUUUCCUCUGUGUAAGGGUUAGUCAAGGCCCUGCUGGGCCAUGGCUUUGGUUGGAAACUCGGAGGAAAAUGUCUCCUUGAUGUUGGCCUUUCUCUUUGUAGAAUGGGUACUAGUAAAGUCCACGUGGUGGAGGUCUCCGUGGUCUUCCUGAACAAGAUGACGGGUAACUCAACAGGGCUAACCUGGGACCUACCUGAUCUUGGGAGGUGUUCCAGCUUUCUUUUCUGUUUUGGAAAAACAUCCAGCCAUCUCAAGAAAAAGUCUAACCCCCCAGGAGUCAUGGGGUCCGGUGUCCCCUCCUUAAUCUGACAUGGGAAAUAAAUGGACCUCAUUACAUGACAAUAGAGACACCCAGGAAACAUCUCCCAAAGUGCAAAUCUACCAGGAGCCCACAGACAGCUGAAUGGAGAAAUGAAGUGCGAACUACGGGUUAACUCCAUCGGGAUACUAAUUCAGCUUGGAAGAAGGAGGGAGACUCUGAAGCACUCCCCUGGAUGAACCGCAAGGACAAGCUCUGUGAAAUAAGCCCUUCCAAAGAGUCUAUCCCUGCCGUCCUCUGCUGGAUUCUGGGACUGUCAUCUCCUGGAGAUCCCACUGGCAAAGGAGUGGAAAUGAGUUACGGACACCAAUGAAUUCAGCAAAUGUUUGCUGAGGAUCUGCUGUAUACGCAGCGCUGCCUUGGGGCUACAUCCUGUUUGGGAGGAUAAGAGGCGGACAACUGAGUGGACAAGAACAGAUUAGAUGAAGGAAGAGACAGGCAAUGUGACGGAGGCAGGCGGCACUGAACAAGGGUGGAACAAGCUCCUGGAAGGUGAGAAGACACUGGACCAGGAAUCCCAGGCCCAUUCUGAGCACAGGUGAAGGAAUUAAAUACUCUUAGCCCAGUCUGGAAGUGAGGGGGGAUGGCCACUGAGUGAAUAUAGAAUGUCUUGUGGGAAUCAGUGAGAACUUUGAAAAUCCCUUCCUGGAGCAAGGCUGCAAUGACCUAACCACCUCCCUGAAGACCUCACCUCCUCAGGGUUCUGUCAGUUCCACAGCACCACACUAGAACCCGGGAUUUCAGCACGUAAAGCACCAGAGUUAGCCAUAUCCAAUCCACAUCAGUGGUUUGGAAUGUGUCGAGUUCCUGUUCAAGGCUAGGAACCCUGAGGGGACCACGAGGCUGUGGAAGCUUUUAUGAGUUGGUGGAAAAGGUGCCUCUGGUCAGCCAGGGGAGGCAGGGUGGUGGCUGUCCUUAUCAUUGAGGUCUUCCGGUGUUUGCUGAGAGAACAUGAAGUGUCAGUCACCCCAUCCAGCUCCCCUGAGAAGUGUAAUCAAUUGCUUUAGACUAAGGGCUUGUGCUGGGCAGGCAUUAUACCAGAUGGUCUACCUGGGUGGGGGAGGGGGGAUCUUGUCUUUUUACCUCAAGUCACUUCUUCCUGGAAGAGACAACUUCCUGAACUGUCAUCGGUCUGAAAUAAUUAUGGUAUGUAAACAUAAAUAUUAUGUCCAUUUUAAUAAACAUCAAUUACAUGCACUUCCCCUAU